rnacentral:rRNA from 1 species
UAGGCUUAUGCGUCUCUAACGAGGCGCUGUAUGUGCUAGGUGCUGGUCAGCAUGGGUUGGCUUGGCAGUAGAAAGGCUUUGGAUUCUUCCUUUGCUCAUGCUGCCGGGCUGACCGAGGUGUGAAGGGCGCUUCGUCUUCGGACUGCGUCUUCAAGAUGCUGGCGGAAGGUUUCCAAACGGCCCGUCUUGAAACACGGACCAAGGAGUUCAACAUGUAUGCGAGCUGGUGGGUGUUAAACCCAUAAGCGCAAGGAAACUGACUGGUGGGAAGCGCAAGCUGCACCAUCGACCGACCAUGAUCUUCUGUGAAAGGUUUGAGUACGAGCAUACCUGUUGAGACCCGAAAGAUGGUGAACUAUGCCUGAGCAGGGCGAAGCCAGAGGAAACUCUGGUGGAGGCUCGUAGAUGUGCUGACGUGCAAAUCGCUUUUCGGACUUGGGUAUAGGGGCGAAAGACUAAUCGAACCAUCUAGUAGCUGGUUCCCUCCGAAGUUUCCCCCAGGAUAGCUGGAGCUUUGUCAGUUUUAUCGGGUAAAGCGAAUGAUUAGAGGUUCGGGGGAUGUAACAUCCUCCACCUAUUCUCAAACUUUAAAUAGGUAAGACGCGUGGGUUGCUUAAUUGAACCCUCGCAGUUAAUGAGAGCUCCAAGUGGGCCAUUUUUGGUAAGCAGAACUGGCGAUGCGGGAUGAACCGAUAGUCUGGUUAAGGUGCCGGAAUACGCGCUAACCUAGAUCCCACAAAGGGUGUUGAUUGAUCUAGACAGCAGGACGGUGGUCAUGGAAGUCGAAAUCCGCUAAGGAGUGUGUAACAACUCACCUGCCGAAUCAAUUAGCCCCGAAAAUGGAUGGCGCUGAAGCGCGUUACCUAUACCAGGCCAUGGGGGCAAGUGCGAGGUCCCCAUGAGUAGGAGGGCGUGGGCGUCGCUGUGCAGCCUGAGGCGUAAGCCUGGGUGAAGCGGCGUCUAGUGCAGAUCUUGGUGGUAGUAGCAAAUAUUCAAAUGAGAACUUUGAAGACUGAAGUGGGGAAA